rnacentral:rRNA from 1 species
UACAGAGGUCUCAAGCGUUGUUCGGAUUCAUUGGGCGUAAAGGGUGCGUAGGCGGCGCGGUAAGUCGGGUGUGAAAUCUCGGAGCUUAACUUCGAAACUGCAUUCGAUACUGCCGUGCUUGAGGACUGGAGAGGAGACUGGAAUUUACGGUGUAGCGGUGAAAUGCGCAGAUAUCGGGAGGAACACCAAUGGCGAAGGCAGCUCGCUGGGACGGUACUGACGCUGAGACGCGAAAGCGUGGGGAGCAAACAGG